rnacentral:rRNA from 1 species
CACGAAGGGUUUCGGCCUUAGUGGCGGACGGGUGAGUAACGCGUAGGAAUCUAUCCAUGGGGUGGGGGAUAACUCCGGGAAACUGGAGCUAAUACCGCAUGAUACCUGAGGGUCAAAGGCGCAAGUCGCCUGUGGAGGAGCCUGCGUUUGAUUAGCUUGUUGGUGGGGUAAUGGCCUACCAAGGCGAUGAUCAAUAGCUGGUCUGAGAGGAUGAUCAGCCACACUGGGACUGAGACACGGCCCAGACUCCUACGGGAGGCAGCAGUGGGGAAUAUUGGACAAUGGGGGCAACCCUGAUCCAGCAAUGCCGCGUGUGUGAAGAAGGUUUUCGGAUUGUAAAGCACUUUCGGCGGGGACGAUGAUGACGGUACCCGCAGAAGAAGCCCCGGCUAACUUCGUGCCAGCAGCCGCGGUAAUACGAAGGGGGCUAGCGUUGCUCGGAAUGACUGGGCGUAAAGGGCGUGUAGGCGGUUUGCACAGUUAGAUGUGAAAUCCCCGGGCUUAACCUGGGAGCUGCAUUUAAUACGUGCAGACUANAGUGUGAGAGAGGGUUGUGGAAUUCCCAGUGUAGAGGUGAAAUUCGUAGAUAUUGGGAAGAACACCGGUGGCGAAGGCGGCAACCUGGCUCAUGACUGACGCUGAGGCGCGAAAGCGUGGGGAGCAAACAGGAUUAAAU